ensembl:lncRNA
AAGACUGUUGGGGAUGUGGCCACACCAGACAUUGGCAGCUCUGAGCAGGAGGGCUAUCUGAAGCUGCAAUGAUUUUAAAAUAUGUAAAAGUUCUGAAAAUCUGCAAUCAGGACUUGCGUCUGUGCAGGAAAAUGUGUAUUUCUUUCUCUUUUUUUUGGCUUCAGUGAGGAGCUCAGGGAAUCCAUGGUGUCUGCACGUCCAUAUCCCCUCAUUUAAGCCAGACCAACCUGAGGGCUAAACGCAUUCUCUUUCCCGGUAUUUAUUUAUUUAUUUUUCUGCGCAAGAAAUGCUUUUCUUCAGCUCAACAGAACAUGGAAGUCUGAAAAAAACCUUACCUUCUACAGAGGAUGUGAGCUGGCCCACGGCCAGCGGCCGGCCUGCACCCUUGUAAACACCUCCCUUUCCCGUCAGGGCCCAGAGAUAAGCCAUUCAGGAUUCUGCCUGGACGGCUGGUACCCCUUCCAUCUGCUAGAGAGGGAGGCCCCGUACCAGCCGUGGGGCCUGCCCCCUGCCCUGGCCCCAGGAGGCAGCUCCGAUGAAAGCGCGUGUCUGUUGCCAGGCCUGGUGCGGAAUGUUCCGUACGUGUUGCCCAAGGAGAACCUUUCACAUUUUUUCACUUUCCAGACUGCGGGCCGGGAAUCAGCCCACCAGGAUGCCAUCCUCCUGAGGACUUGUGGGAAAUGAGCGAAACAGAAGAACCACAGAGCCAAGCUCAGGUGCAUGUUAUGAGCUUUCCAUCUGGCUCGGAGACAAGGCUGAGGGCAUCCCUGCCAUCAGGUGACACAGCCCCAAGUGCCUGAUGGGGUACACGGUCCAGGGCAUCCAGGCAGGGAGCAGGGUGGGGAUGUCCACCUGGUACUCCAGGAGGGGCUCCUGCCCCCUGCCUCUGCCUGCCAGCCCAGACCAACCCCCAUCCCAGGGGGUGUACCACCUCAUCUGCAGUGAAAACUCAGGUGCAGGCUCCCUGGGCAGGGCAGGGCAGCUCAGCGAUUUACAUGACAACUAAUAUUAGAUCUUUUCCGAAAGCUUAGUUUAAUGAGAGGAGAGAGAAGUCAGUGUGUGGGUUUUUGAACCUGGGAAGUGUGUUAAGAACUUUGGAGGGACAAAGAAAAAGGCCCUGGGCAGGGACAGAGUGAGUUAGUAAAUUGUGAUAGUCUUGCAACUGGCCAAACAGAGAAUUCCAACAACAAUAAUAGUUAACAUUUGAGGGUUUACCGUGCGCUGGCGACACGCAGUGGCUCAUCUGACAACUUUGUUAGAACCUCUGGGACAGCUGUGCUGAGUGGGCUCCAUGACCAGCCUUCUUAUAAAUGAGGACCCGAGGCACAGAGAGGCUCACUCACUUGUCCCGCAUCACACAGCUAGUUAGCAGAGGAACUGGUUCCAACUCUCUGUCUCUGCCCUUUGCCACAACAUCACCCCUUCUCUGCCCGAUGUCCAUUAGCCUCAGCACCGCCUCAUUGGAUGUGCCUGAUUCACCUCUUUGGUCAUUGCCUUCAUGAAAAGGACCAUUUGCUUACCCCCACACCCCGACCCCAGAAGAGACAGCCAAGGGCUGUGAAGACAUGUGUCUGUCCCCAGUGCCUUAGAAAGGGCACAGGAGAUCCAGAGGCCAGAGGACUCACUGUCAGCACUCCAGGGAACUGAAUGACACCUCAAGCUGGUCACUGGUCUUCUCUGAACU